rnacentral:tRNA from 1 species
UCCGGAGUAGCUUAAUUGGCAGAGCUCCAGGUUGUUACCCUGAUGUAGAUAUAGGUUCAAGUCCUAUCUCCGGAG